UGUAACAGGAGCUCAGGGGCACUUUUGUCAUGGAGAGAAUAUAUGCAGGGAGAUGGCUAAUGACCCACAGCUGGGAUCAUUGCUGCCUGCUCAGGACUUGAGUUACUGGAUGUCGGAGGCUUACAAAGUGCUCUUUCUGAACGAAAAGUGAUUUUUUGAAACUAAUAUCAACAAGAUCAGGACAACUGCAAUCACUUUACCCGAC
rnacentral:lncRNA from 1 species